GGGCAGCGCCGCCCUCCGGGGCCGCGGGUUCGCGUCCCGCUCCCUCCACUUCCGCCUCCGCCGCUUCCAUGGCGUGCGGCCUCCAGCGGCGCUUCGGUGAUGAUGGGGACCUGGGGGACGAGGAAUUCCUCUCGGCCGUGCGUGACGCCGAGCACCGCUUCGCUCUCCCCGCGUCCCCCGCAGAGCCCGGGCAGAGCGGGGGGGAGGGAGAACCACCCCGAUGGGGGGGGAACAGGGAGGAGGAGGAGGGGGGGGGCGGAGGGAGCCGCUAAGAGACCGCGGCUCGGACCCCCCCACCCCCCGCUCUCCCAAUGGGCUCUGAGACCCAGCGCGGCCGGAGAUCGCCGCCCCCCCACCCCCGGCCCCCCCCUCCGGCA